CUCCUACGGGAGGCAGCAGUAGGGAAUUUUCCACAAUGGACGAAAGUCUGAUGGAGCAACGCCGCGUGCAGGAGGAAGGCCCUCGGGUCGUAAACUGCUUUAUUGUGACGAUUUGACGGUUAACAAAUCGAAUAAGGGUCUGCUAACUACGUGCCAGCCGCCGCGGUAAUAC
rnacentral:rRNA from 1 species